GACAGAGGGUGCAAACGUUGUUCGGAAUUACUGGGCGUAAAGCGUGUGUAGGCGGCUCUGCAAGUCGGAUGUGAAAGCCCUGGGCUCAACCCAGGAAGUGCACUCGAUACUGCAGAGCUUGAGUAUCGGAGAGGUUGGUGGAAUUCUCGGUGUAGAGGUGAAAUUCGUAGAUAUCGAGAGGAACACCGGUGGCGAAGGCGGCCAACUGGACGAAUACUGACGCUGAGACACGAAAGCGUGGGGAGCGAACAGG
rnacentral:rRNA from 1 species